rnacentral:tRNA from 1 species
GUGUGUGUAAUUUAAAAAAAAUGUCAAGCUGUGACCUUGAAAACAGAUACCAAUCUCACACACC